CUUAAACCUCCUGCAAGUUUUCAACACAAUUCAAUAUUCCAACCAAGUUCAGUUGUACAAACAUACAAAAUUUAACCAUUAAUAAACACUACAUUUUAAAUCGAACCAUAACAUAUAUUUACAUGGUGACGCCCCAUUACAUAAGUCGUCUAUACAUGCCAUAAUUUCCAGAAUACUAGUAGCCAAAAUACUCAAACGUGGAUGAUAGUGUAGAUGAUUGUCUGACUCCGUCCAAAUUCCGAGUUGAUGGAAAUCACUAUAAUCAAGGGAAAAAUAAAAACGAGUAAGCAUAUAGCUUAGUAAGUAAACAUAUGACAAAUAAAUAAUUUCUCACAUGACUACACCAUAGUAUAAAUUUAUUCACAAAUAAAUUUCAUUAUUUGUGUAAUUUCCAGCAAGCUGGUUUUCUGCGUCAUGACCACUAAUUUAUUUUUAUUCGGAGCUACAUGGCUUCAAAUUGAAUUCUGUAAAUUUUUCAUGAAACUAGACCCAUAUAUCUUUCUAUUUCAGAAUUUUUGAUCGAGCCAAUUAGUACAGUUUAUUCUUUAAAUCUUCCCCUGUUUCACUGCCCAACAGUCCUGACCUCCCCUUACAAAAUUUCACAUAACUCUCUGUACAAGUUUCAAAAAAUGUUCUCGUUUGUUUCUAUUAAAAAUAGACUCAAAAAGGAAUCCAGUCAUAUAGAUUUCAAGCCAUAAUUAUUUUUUUUAAAUUUUUGGUGAUUUUCCAAAGUUGGAAUAGGAGAUUUCGAAAUCAAUCCAGCCCUGUCUCAGUAAAAUUCAAAUAUCUCCAAAAAUACAACUCUUUUGCUUACUAUAUUUCUUUCAUAUGAAAAUAGACUCAUUCAGCUUCAAUUUCAUAUAUUAUUUAACCUCUAAUUCAUUUUCCACCAUUUAUGGUGAUUUUUCAAAGUUGCCCAACUGCUAUCAUUCAAAACAGUUGGCAUUCAAAUUGUCUCUUUUUGUGUUUUUGAUUUUCCUCCCAUCUUAUACAUGGGUUGAUUAAUUAUCAAACCCAAUAUUCCUCCCAUAAACUUGUCCACCACAUAUAUGAAUAUUCACCUUCCCAAUUUACUCGUUGAACACUCGGAAUGUUAACCGUUAUCGGUGGAUUCCGCACUUAGCAACCACCAAUGAAUCGAGGAAUCAGCACACAGCAACCCCUUGGGGGAAUCAGCACUUAGCAACCCCCUUCACAUUUCAGAUGCGGUGGAAUCAGCACUUAGCAACCACCAAAUGAGUCGGGGAGUCAGCACUUAGCAACCCCUCGGGGGAAUCAGCACUUAGCAACCCCCUUUCACAUUUAAAAUACGGUGGGAUCAGCACUUAGCAACCACCAAUAGGUAGGGGAAUCAGCACUUAGCAACCCCUCGGGGGAAUCAGCACUUAGCAACCCCCUUUCACAUUUAAAAUAUGGUGGGAUCAGCACUUAGCAACCACCAAUAGGUAGGGGAAUCAGCACACAGCAACCCCUUUAUAUGCAAUAUGCUCCGGCCUAUUCCGAGUGUUCAACCAAAAACCGUGUUUUGCAACCCCUUACCACCUUUCUCGAUUUAACAACAUUUUUGGAAUCUUGCCAAACAUUUAUUUUAUAUUCAAAUACAUCUCAACACAUAUCAAAUAAUACCAAAAUAAUACAUUAAGUCACGUGUUUACUUACCUCGGUGCAAAAUAUCGUAAUUUUGCAAUUCACUCAACUAUCUUUUCUUUUCCUCGUUUGAGAUAAUCUUCCCGUUUUUCUUGAUCUAUAAUGGCAAAUUUAACUCAUUUAAUGUUCACAUUUAUUGAAAUAAUCCACCACCCAACUUUUUGAAAAAUUACAAUUUUACCCCCAAACUUCUGCAUAAUUACACUUUUGUCCCCAAGCUCGGGAAUUAAACUUCAUCACUUAUUCUUAUGUUUUAUGACAUGCUGAACAUUUUUCGCUUCUAUGGCAACAUCAAAUUCUCACUCUAGCACAUACUUUUGAACAUUAACAAUUUUUACCGAUUAUGUCAAUUUACCCGUUUUCGUUUAAAAUCGCUUAGCAAAAGUUGUUUAACAUAAUUUCUAGCUUCAUAUUCCACCAUAAAACAGAAAAAUAAACACUUUUCACCUAUGGGUAUUUUUCCAAAUAUAAACCCUAACAUGAAUUAUUGAUAAAAUAAGCUAAACCGAGCUACGAGGAUUUCAAAAAUGCAAAGAACAUUAAAAACGGGGCUAAGAUGCACUUACUAUGAGCUUGAGAAAGCAAAGAAACCCUAGCUAUGGUGUCUUCCAAAAUUUGGC
rnacentral:lncRNA from 1 species